ACUAGAAGCUCUUGGGAGCAUGUGGACAGUUGUGGCUGCUCCUGAGCUGACACUAACUGCUCAUGACUCCUCUGUGGGAGAAGUAGGUGGUUUCCUAGAGGAAGAAGUUUGGGUAAUGAAGCCACAGAGAUUUGCUGAUACAUUUGCUAGGCACGACUUCUGGUCAUUUAGAAAGCUAUUUUGUGGCUUCAUCAAUAAGGUAUUCCCCAGCUGUGUUACUCCUUCGCAUUGUUAUCUCUUUCCCUGGAAUUGAAGGCUUCCUGGUCUGAGGCAAGGACAAUUAUUCCCUCACUGUCAACCCUGAUCUCUGGCUGCAGUAAUGAGUAGAGGAAAUGAAGAAAUAAGAAUGGAAGCAUAAUCAUUUGUCCGAGGUCACAGAGGGAGAUGAUUACACAGCUGGAAUGUAAGCCUCAGUACUUUACUGAAUCCUUGGCUUUGUCCAUGGGCCCAGCUACAGGCAUAAAGCUUUUCUCUUCCCCAGCAGUGACUUCGAGUACCAGCUUUCAAAUUUAUUUGACAUUGAAUCUAAGCUUUGUGACCAGUAUGUAGAAGGAGAAGAAGGGGAGGAAUUACUUAUCCUUUGGCAUACAUUAGCAUGCAAAUAAAUCCUUUCUCUGCAUUGUGGAAGGGUCUGAAAUUAUCACAUAUACAAUGUAUCUUUUAUCAAUGGCCUUGCAUACAAAUUUUACUUUGAAGAAUCCAGAUUUAGAGGUCUUCUCCAAACAUUUGCAUUGUUUCUUUUUCUUAGGAUCAGAACUUCUACCUAUUGUCAUUUUAAGAAAAAAGAUCAUGAAUUAAUUAAUUUAUUCAUUAUUUACACCCUUAUAUUCUUUCCCAAAUGUUUUAAUGUGGCUUACAUUGUAUACAUGUACACAAUAAAUAUUUAUAUUUAAAUAAGUUAUAAUCACAGAAUGAGAAUAUUAUUACAACCACUCAUACUCAUUCAAAUAGCUUGAUUAUAUCAU
rnacentral:lncRNA from 1 species